UCAUUAUUGUUAAAGCUCAUUAUUGCUCUCUCUUCAGGUGAAUGCAGUGAAGGAUUGCUGCUAUUUCCCUUGCCUUUCCAGGCUGGGGAGGCCAUUUAACUUCAUGAAGCUAUUGCUCUGCACCUUGUGUAAGCGACUGCAUCGCUUCCACUGAACUCAGGACGCAGUGCAAGAGCUGGAUCUGCCAUGUGGAAAGAAGCAAGGUCGAGGAGGGUCUUGUGUGUGAUGUGUCCUGCCUUGCCCUGGCAUGGGUGCUCUGUGGGCAGGCUGCGUGCAGGGGAAGCCUCGGGGCUGACUGCAGCACAUAACGAGCAUCAACACUGAAGCUUCAACAAGCUCACUGAACAUGGGAGAGAAGAACACUCAGUGAAACUGCUGAGGUGAGUCAAAUUGGUUGGAAUUAACAAGGGUAGUGUUGACCAUAAUGAUAUAUUUACAGUCUGGUGAUUGUUCUCUGGGAAAGAAGGAAAGGGGCUUAAAAUCCUAUUUAGUUUAAACUGUAUUUUAACUCGGGCAGUUCUUCAGUAGUACACAGUUAAUGUAGUCUGUCAAAUCCCGCUGACAUAUUUUGGCAAUAGAUAUUUCCUCUAAUUGAAAGCAAUUGUUGUGUUGUAAGUUUUCCCCCUUUCCCAUUUGUUUUGCUUAACGAGUAGUGGUGGCCUGUCUACUUAGGCACGUAUUGAGCAACUGCUCACUGGAAAGUUAGCAUAUUGCAAAGAGUGCAGCACGAUCCUGCCUGACUUCAUAAGGAGAAAUUUCCUCCAGGCUUUGGCAGAGGAUGUUUGAACAAAGCUGGUAGGCUCAGCCUUGCUGGUUGUUAUUGCAGGGCUUUGCUGGUUGGGUCAGCUAUGGCCUUCAUGUGUGACUCCUGGGGUAAAACCAGGCUCGCUUCCAAUGCAGCCAUGCUUUGUUUUGAACAAUCAGCAUGGCCCCUGCUGUGAAUCCCCACGAGGGGAUGCUCUGCUUUAUGUUGCCUUCACUUCCUUUCCUCAGAGCCAAAUGCUGCAUCCUACGCUGCUGGAACGCAGUCAAGAUGCGCAGCCUGUGUGGACAAGACAUGGCCAGUCCCUGUUGUGUCAGAUGCUGCUGCUGCUCCAGUGGGAGCUGUCAUGCUGCCCUGGGAUGGGCCUAUGCACUGGGGACUUGCAUCCUCCCUCCACUCUACUGCAGGGAAUGUGUCUGUGCUGUCCUUUUAGGACACCAGUCAGGUGCUUGGUCUCGAAACACCUUUUACCUGAUGCCCUUCUGAAGCUUGAAGAGGUGGCAUGUACCUCACUUCCCUUGGAUUUGAGAGCAGGACUGGAUGAAACCCUCCUUUACCCUGUAGUCACAUCAAGUCUGAUCAGCCACCAGAAACCCCUUCAGGCUGGUGCUGGCUAGGACCUGGCUGAAGAAGGGACUUUGUUCUGCCAUACGUGCAUGCACCCCUGCCUACCUGUGAUGUCCCAAGGUCUGCAUUGUUACGAGGGACAGGUGUGGUUGGGAGACAGUUGGUGUAGUGAGCUGGAGUUCAAAGGGGACUUGCUUCCUCCCUUCUCUAUACCCCAGGGAAUGUGUCUGUGCUGUCCCUGCAGGGCAUCGGUCAGAUGCUUGCUUCUUCAUCUGACCACUCACCUCAGCAUGUGCCGAACUUCCCGCACCACAGAGCUGGAGAUUCAUUUUCCCUUGCCAGCCAUGGGUCCAACCCUGACCGGUGUAAAGCUGGGAGAAUUGAGGGCUGAGCCCUUCCUAGGUCUCUAAGGAAAAUAAAGGCAACAAGUCACCAGGGAGAUCUGUGGGAAACUGGAAACCUGCUGGUUCUGUAUUCCCGCUGAGGGCCUGAAACAUGAAAGCUCUCCUUUCCAGCUGGGUCAAACCUCAGCACGGGCUGCAAAAGACACAUGUUUUGUUGCCUUGUGAUAAACCUCCUGCUCUGGAAAAUCCUGCCAUUAUUGUGUGUCUGAACUUUUCACCAGUACCGAAUCUGUCAUUAACCUAGAAGGAGACCUUUUCAUGCUCACAUCCUCUGUCUGCACAGCUCCUCUCUGGAGGCAAAUCCCUCAUGGUGAGUGCGUCAGCUGGCUGCAUGCUGCAGACAAGGUUAUGACUGCAUUACAUACUCUGAGGCAGCAAUGGGAAAGGUUCAUCUUUGAAAGCAAAAAGGGGGAAAAAAGCAUGAUUUUACUCAUAAAGUGCCUCGGGUCCCCAUAAAUCCCUCUCACCCUUGUUCAGAGCAGGGCUGGAGGCCAGCAGCAGGGUGGCAGUGGAGCAUGCUGUGCCCGUGCAAUUCAGCCACAGCCAUUUGCAGCAGAGCUGGAGACCACAAUGGAGCAUGUGUUUAAACUAAGGGACAUUUGGGAAGCGACCUUGCCUUAAUCUUUCUGCUAAGCACCUACCAGACUCCCAGCAGCUAAAUCAUUAGUGGUAAUGAUGGUCUGGCCUUCUCCUCCAUGAGCAAUGCCUGCAAUACAGACUGAGAGCAAUAAAAUAGGAAUUUGGUCCACACUCAUCCAAAAGUAUACAGGGGAUUGCUAAUCAGUCUAUUUCCAAGCCCUAUGUUAUUUCUGAGUGUCCUGAAGUGCCUCACUGAGCAUUUUGCUGAUGUAUCCAGCUUGAUGACACAAGGCACUAACAAAUGACUGGAUAAAGGCAGGGUGGCAGGCAGCACUGGAGAGCAUCAGAUGAGUGGGGUGAUCAGCGAAUAGCUCUUGUUAGGGCAAUGAUUUCUCUCUGUCCAAGUGUUUCUCGGCUCCUCCUCGGCUCUGCUUGUGUUUUCCUGGUGCAUGGCUCCCCUCUGUUCAGAAACACCGCUCCAGAGAGAGAACCCUGUCCUGGAUGGCUCUGGGCUGAGGCAGGGGAGUCCCAGCGGGUCUGCUCUGCUUUUGCCAGCCUCUUUCUGUCUUCUCUCAGAUAACUGCUAGCUGUCUUUCUCAGCAUGGGGAAAAGGCAGGAGAUGGACCCCUGCUCUGAUCCAGUAGAAGUACUCAAUGGCCACUUUUCAUCAGCCCAGGUUUCUGAGAAGGAAAGCGAGCCGCCGAAAUAAUUCAAAACACGUGUCUGCUAAGCAUUUGCGAAUGCACCUUGAGGUCUCCUGCCAACCUGCCCUGCAAUCAUACAGAAAAUGACCCAAAUAGCCCACUUAGAGGUGAAGAGUGAAGGGGAGGGAAAGAGGAGGACUGGCUGCCUUCGUCAGAGCAGAGGCACCUUGC